rnacentral:tRNA from 1 species
GAGGGUAUAGCUCAAUGGUAGAGUGUGUGCUUAGCAUGCAUGAGGUCCUGGAUUCAAUCUCCAGUACCUUCA